ensembl:snoRNA
UGCCUUGUUGGUGUGGUGGUUGUGGGCACAUAACACUUUGUGCCUGAAAUAAACCGCGAGGCUACAGAAACACAGGUUAUGCUUCCAUCCUUGUACGAUAGAUUACAUUGGUGACAAUGAGACCUGUAAUAAGC